AUGUGCUCGCGCCCCAGAAAUUCCCCAACGCGGACUUCACCUUCAACAAGGCUCCGCUGCCGUCCCACCUCUCCGUCGCUUGCGCCGUCGCCAGCCCCACCGGACCCGUCGAAUACCCCUACAUCGCGGCCGCCGACCGCAGCGGCUUCCUUCUGCUCUGCGGCCAGACCGCGGUCGGGCUCACCCUCUACAUCUGCGACCCGUGCUUCCGCAGGACGCUGGGCGUCUUCCCCCACGACGGCGUCAUCGGCUGCCGCCACUGCGUCGCGGAAACCUGCUGCACGCUCUUCUGCACGGUGGACCUGUACUCGUGGGUCGAGAAGGAGCCCGACUGCUCCAACAUCUUCUCCGUCGACCUGCAGAACGGGAGCGUGGUGCAGUGGGACAAGUUCGAAGGUUUGGGGAUGCCGGACCUCUCCUCCCGCCUGGUCCAUGCUUGGCAGUUUCCGCCGGAGCUCGCCGAGUAUCGCCCCUUGCCUGGUACCAUCUCGUGCGCACUCUGUCAAGUGUUUGCAAGUUUGCGUGUAA
rnacentral:rRNA from 1 species